AGGGGGAGGCCGGAUCCUGGGCUGUGUCCCCGGCGCCCUGUGCUCCCGGGCCUGCACUGUUGGAUUCGCAAUCCAGGUGGCUCAGCUGCCU
rnacentral:pre_miRNA from 1 species